UAAUGGACUGAACCUGGGGAACUGUAAGC
rnacentral:piRNA from 1 species